rnacentral:rRNA from 1 species
UGGGGAAUAUUGCACAAUGGGCGAAAGCCUGAUGCAGCAACGCCGCGUGAGUGAUGAAGGUCUUCGGGUUGUAAAGCUCUGUCUUUUGGGACGAUAAUGACGGUACCAAAGGAGGAAGCCACGGCUAACUACGUGCCAGCAGCCGCGGUAAUACGUAGGUGGCGAGCGUUGUCCGGAUUUACUGGGCGUAAAGGGUGCGUAGGCGGAUGUUUAAGUGAGAUGUGAAAUACCCGGGCUUAACUUGGGUGCUGCAUUUCAAACUGGAUAUCUAGAGUGCAGGAGAGGAGAAUGGAAUUCCUAGUGUAGCGGUGAAAUGCGUAGAGAUUAGGAAGAACACCAGUGGCGAAGGCGAUUCUCUGGACUGUAACUGACGCUGAGGCACGAAAGCGUGGGUAGCAAACAGGAUUAGAUACCCUGGUAGUCCACGCCGUAAACGAUGAGUACUAGGUGUAGGAGGUAUCGACCCCUUCUGUGCCGCAGUAAACAC